CCUACGGGAGGCAGCAGUGAGGAAUAUUGCGCAAUGGCCGAAAGGCUGACGCAGCAACGCCGCGUGAGGGAUGAAGUUCUUCGGAAUGUAAACCUCUGUUAGAGGGGACGAAUGAGGGAGAGACUAAUAGACUCUCUCUUUGACGGUACCUUCAGAGAAAGCCCCGGCUAACUCCGUGCCAGCAGCCGCGGUAAU
rnacentral:rRNA from 1 species